GACAGAGGGUGCAAACGUUGUUCGGAAUUACUGGGCGUAAAGCGCGUGUAGGCGGCUUUGCAAGUCGGGUGUGAAAUCCCACGGCUCAACCCUGAAACUGCAUUCGAUACUGCGUGGCUAGAGUGCUGGAGAGGAGACUGGAAUUUACGGUGUAGCAGUGAAAUGCGUAGAUAUCGUAAGGAAGACCAGUGGCGAAGGCGAGUCUCUGGACAGCAACUGACGCUGAGGCACGAAGGCCAGGGGAGCAAACGGG
rnacentral:rRNA from 1 species